rnacentral:rRNA from 1 species
GCUAAGUCCGUGCCAAGAGCGGGGGUAAUCCGGAGGGUUGAAGCGUUAAUCGGAAUGACGGGGCGUAAAGCGCGCGUAGGUUGUUUGUUAAGCGAGGUGUGAAAGCCCCGGGCUUAACCUGGGAACUGCAUUUCGAACUGGCAAGCUAGAGUACAGUAGAGGGUGGCGGAAUUUCCUGUGUAGCGGUGAAAUGCGUAGAGAUGGGAAGGAACAUCAGUGGCGAAGGCGGCCACCUGGACUGAUACUGACACUGAGGUGCGAAAGCGUGGGGAGCAAACAGGAUUAGAUACCCCUGUAGUC